GUAUAAAUAGCUAAGAUUUUCUCCAUGAAUAACUGAUGUGAGACUACAUACACGUCCACACAAAUUUUUCAUACUCCUCCCACUUAAGUCCUGGUAUCCUCGUCAAGCUAAGGGUCCAAAUCCAUACAUCCAUUCACAAACACCAUGAUCGGCCCAUGAUCAGCCUAAUGAGUCUGUGCUAUAGUAUCUUCUAAUCUACAUGAAUUAUAAACUAGAUUCCACUGAUAUCAUUUGUAACAACUCAGAACGUCAUCCAAAAAGAUCGAUC
rnacentral:lncRNA from 1 species